rnacentral:rRNA from 1 species
GUGGGGAAUUUUGGACAAUGGGCGCAAGCCUGAUCCAGCAAUGCCGCGUGCAGGAAGAAGGCCUUCGGGUUGUAAACUGCUUUUGUACGGAACGAAACGGUCCUGGUUAAUACCUGGGGCUAAUGACGGUACCGUAAGAAUAAGCACCGGCUAACUACGUGCCAGCAGCCGCGGUAAUACGUAGGGUGCAAGCGUUAAUCGGAAUUACUGGGCGUAAAGCUUGCACAGGCGGUUUUGUAAUACAGGAGUGAAAUCCCCGGGCUCAACCUGGGAAUUGCGCUUGUGACUGCAAGGCUGGAGUGCGGCAGAGGGGGAUGGAAUUCCGCGUGUAGCAGUGAAAUGCGUAGAUAUGCGGAGGAACACCGAUGGCGAAGGCAAUCCCCUGGGCCUGCACUGACGCUCAUGCACGAAAGCGUGGGGAGCAAACAGGAUUAGAUACCCGGGUAGUCC